rnacentral:lncRNA from 1 species
ACCUUACGGAGCCUGAUUGUGACUUCAGUGGUUGUUGGAAUGUGAAUGGGAUGAUGGUGAUACAGACUCUAGCCAGCAUUUGGAGGAAGAUUAAGUACAGCAGGAUCAGGAUGGAGGAUAGUGUGGCUUCCUGGCAGGUUUUAUUUGGGGGGGUUUCUGGCUGCCAGAGAGAUCAUAUCACGUCAUACUGGAGAAGUGCUGACUUUUUGCCAGAGAAUCCCCAGAAACUUCGGAAGUGGGGUGGAGCCCUGCAGCGGUUUUAAAGAGCACAGCGGAAUGAUGCAAUGAUGAGUGACAGCAAAUGAAUACUCUGUCCAACUUGCAAGUCAACUUGGAAUCAAGUGAGAAGAAUGUUCCUGCUUGGGUUGGAAUUCAUCCAGAUGUGAGACUUUAUUGACUGUAAGCCACUAAUUCAAAGACUCUUCGAGCAGUUAGCCCAGGUUUUCUCCGUACUGUACUUCCUAAAUUUUCCGCAGCCUACAUUUAUGACUUUUAUCAUCAUAAAGUUCCAAAUGAAAUGCCUACAUAAAAAUUAAUUGAAGCUUGAGAACACCACAUCACUUGUUAAGCUGCACUGUGAGGCGUGCACGCCCAUCUGCCCCAUCUGUUUAUUUUUCAAUUAAUAAAGGGCAAAGGAUGUUUGUGCUUGAGGCUUGAGGACCUUGCUGCCUGUAUUGGAAUCUGUGAUUUUAGUCCAAAUUGAUAGUGUUCUGCUAUUUGUGGAGGCUUUUAUUUAUUUAUUUUAUGAAACACAUCUUAAAUGAAGGCAUAUUUUCUCAAACUGACCACAUAGAGUUCGGGAUAAACAGCUUGCUAGUAAGAGCUUUGUGAAUAAUAGGGAUAUGGAUUUACUGCAUGGGGUCUUGAGUGUUUUUUUAAAGGCAUUGUUUUAAGUUAGUGGGAGGCACAGAUGAAAGGAGGAAUUUCAAGAUAAGCCCUGUGAGUAAUUUUGCACGGCAGUGAGGAGUUGAGAUGGAUGGGAUUUGUUUUGGCAUUCACCUGUGGU